AAAGAUCCUGCAGAAAGUAAAUCCUGCUGAAGAUGCUCCCAUUCCUCAGGCAGAAGCUGAGGCAGAAACUGCACCUAGUGAAGUCAAAAUGGGGACUGGUGGAGUCAGUGUCUCAGCUCACUGUUGGGAGACCGCAAAGGCCCAGAAAACUGCCAAUGGGAUGGCACGAGUGCUGCUGAUGGGUCUUUUCAACACUGACAUUCUGCUGAGGUCCAACUUGACUGGCGGAAAGAACAAAGUUGAUCCCACUGCAGACAGACGACAAGCUCUUGAUGGGAAAAAGCUGCAAGCUUUACAAGAUGCUGUCCUAAAUCACCAUCCUGGGACCAAGAUA